CCCUGAUUAGCUUAGCUGGCAGAGCGCUUCACUGAAAAUGGAGAGGUCCCGGGUUCGAUACCUGGACCAGGCG
rfam:Ixodes scapularis strain Wikel colony gcontig_1108379509210, whole genome shotgun sequence.